rnacentral:rRNA from 1 species
AUUGAACGCUGGCGGCAUGCCUUACACAUGCAAGUCGAACGGUAACAGGUCUUCGGAUGCUGACGAGUGGCGAACGGGUGAGUAAUACAUCGGAACGUGCCUAGUAGUGGGGGAUAACUACUCGAAAGAGUGGCUAAUACCGCAUGAGAUCUACGGAUGAAAGCAGGGGAUCGCAAGACCUUGUGCUACUAGAGCGGCCGAUGGCAGAUUAGGUAGUUGGUGGGAUAAAAGCUUACCAAGCCGACGAUCUGUAGCGGGUCUGAGAGGACGAUCAGCCACACUGGGACUGAGACACGGCCCAGACUCCUACGGGAGGCAGCAGUGGGGAAUUUUGGACAAUGGGCGCAAGCCUGAUCCAGCAAUGCCGCGUGCAGGAUGAAGGCCUUCGGGUUGUAAACUGCUUUUGUACGGAACGAAAAGCCCUGGGUUAAUACCCUGGGGUCAUGACGGUGCCGUAAGAAUAAGCACCGGCUAACUACGUGCCAGCCGCCGCGGUAACAC